GCGGAAGAAGGCCUUCGGGUUGUCAACCGCUUUUGUUGGGAAAGAAAUCCUGUCUGCUAAUACCUGGUAGGGAUGACGGUACCCGAGAAUAAGCACCGGCUAACUUCGUGCCAGCAGCCGCGGUAAUACGUAGGGUGCAAGCGUUACUCGGAAUUACUGGGCGUAAAGCGUGCGUCACGUGGUUAUUUAAGUCCAGAUGUGAAAUCCCCGGGCUCAACCUGGGAACUGCAUUGGAGACUGCAUGACUAGAAUGUGGUAGAGGGUAGAUGGAAUUCCUGGUGUAGCAGUGAAAUGCGUAGAUAUCCGGAGGAACAUCGNAUGGCGAAGGCAAUCNCCUGGUACCUGUACUGACACUCAUGCACGAAAGCGUGGGGAGCAAACAGGAUUAGAUACCCUGGUAGUCCACGCCCUAAACGAUGUCAACUGGAUGUUG
rnacentral:rRNA from 1 species